CCAAAGACAUGUUUUAAGAGGCCAGUGUUGAUCAGUGGCUGUCCAGGCCUUUCAGAGCCACUGACACGCCGGCAGCACAAUGAGGAUGUCACUGACUCUACUGCUGGCCACCCUGGGGCUCCUUGUUCAGGGUUCAUCAGGACAAAUCACCCUGACUCAGUCUCCUGGAUCUCAGUCUGUUGUUCCAGGACAAACUGUCUCUAUCAGAUGUAAAACCAGUUCAAGUGUUAGUGGCUGGCUCCACUGGUACUUUCAGAAACCUGGAGAAGCUCCUAAUCUCCUGAUUUAUUCAGCUACAACUCGUCAGUCUGGAGUUUCAAGUCGUUUCAGUGGAAGUGGAUCUGGUUCUGACUACACUCUGACCAUCAGUGGAGUUCAGGCUGAAGAUUCAGGAGUUUACUACUGUCAGCAGGGUGCCAGCUUCCCGUACACGUUCGGUGGAGGAACCAGACUGGAGAUUGGAAGUGAUGUCCGUCCCACCCUGACAGUGCUGCCCCCCUCCAGUGAGGAGCUGCAGCAGGGGAAGGCCACGCUCAUGUGCCUGGCCAACAAGGGCUUCCCCUCAGACUGGAGUCUGUCCUGGAAGGUGGACGGCAGCAGCAGCAGCAGCAGCAGCAGCAGCUGGGAGCAGAGCAGGAGCCCCGGGGUGCUGAAGGACGGCCACUACAGCUGGAGCAGCACCCUGAGGCUCUCUGCAGACCAGUGGAGGAAGGUGGGCUCUGUGACCUGUGAGGCCACCCAGGGCUCCCAGACUCCGCUCUCAGAGACACUGAGGAGAGACCAGUGUUCCCAGUCCUGACCUGACUCACUGGGACUCUGCUACUGGUUUUACUCUGCUACUGCUCUCACUGUGCACUCUGUAACUAUCUCUCUCUUUCAUUUGACAUGUUUCAGUCAGAAUAUUUACUAGCUUGUUGCAGUGUUUCAAUAUUAUUUCACUGUUUCCAGAUAAUAAAGACGUGUUCAUCAAA